AUUUCAGCAUUAUAAUCAACGC
rnacentral:misc_RNA from 1 species